ACUAUAUGAUGUAUUAUGUAUUUGCUACUUCAGACGUUGCCUAUCUGCUUCGAAUGAGACACAAAAAAUAUCACCAAGAUCUCUGAUAGU
rnacentral:snoRNA from 1 species